UGUGCACCCCAACUUCAUUUUGAUAAUAAAUUUUAAAACAAUUUCAAAUUUUCCCUUUUUCUUUUUCUUGUACGGGUUUUUGCCCUCUCUUCAUUAUUUUGGGACUUCUAUAUUGGGGAGUUCAUAAAAGUGGGCCCAAUUUCUUUUUCAUUAUUUUGUAUAAUAGUAUCACAUUACAAAACGACAUUACAAAAACUGCCUACUAAGGUGUUUGAUAAAAUGCCUAUUAGAAGUUCCGCCAAUAAUUGAGUUUAAGAAUCCAAUUUUCAUUGCAGAAUGGGAACCAAAGAAGAAACCAAGCUUAAAACAGAAUUGCAGGACAUAGUUUUGCAAACUUUCACACAAUUUUCAACGAGGAUUGCAAAAAAUGAGGAACUCGGUGCUGUUGGAAGUAGAUUACUUAGUGGGUUUCAACAAGAGCUUGAUUGCUGGUCUUAUCCUAUAAAUGUUUGCACACAGAAGUAAAUGCAUGCCUACUCGGACUUCAAGACCAUUUAACUAAAGUUGGCCAAUUGAGAAGAAGUGAGUGCAAUGUUGCAAUAUAUUUCCUUGCCACGUUUGGUUCGCCUCUUUCAAUUAUUUUUACUUUCUUAAUCAGAAGACAAUUUACAUUCCAGUAAUUCUUUUUCUGAUUUUUCAAGUGGUACUAAAUACAUUGAUGGAUGUUGCAGCAAAAAGCAUAUUAAAUGAACUGGAAAAUCUUCUCGAGGAUUUAGCUAGUGCAAUUAACUCUUCUAAAGAAAGUUUCUCACCUUUGAAGGAUAAAGAUCUAUGUGAAGAAUUUGAUCAACAAGCAAUUAUUUGACCAGGAAGAGAUGUCGCCAUCAGCUCUUCAAGAAAGUGAGGUGACAGAUUAUGCUGCUUUGAUGGGGAUCAUUUACAAUAUGGUCAAGCAAGACUAUGUGAUGCAGGAAAGGAUUGUUACUUCAUUAAAUCUAAAAUCUCUGCCCGGGGAAUUGGAGAGCUACUGUCUGAUGUAGUCUCUGCGCCCUUUUAUUAAUGAUGACAUUAUGCAUCAGGCCUCGAAGCUUGUUGACUAGCAAUUCAUGGUUUUUCAAACUGUAGAUUGCCUUUUAGCGGCCUAGUAUUGUUGUACUUGUGAAAGACCUUAUUUAAUAUGCAUGCAGUUCCUUAUUUCUUUUUCCACAAUAUAUCAUAAGAGUGUUGCAAUAGUUGAAUUAAUUUCCGUAAAGAAAAUAUAGAAACAUUAUAUUCAAUAGCUUGUAUACUUUUCUAAGGUGGCUAGAUGUAAAUCUGUAAUGUACCUGACGAUGGUUUUCAUUUUUAUACACUAAUGUCAAGCCUUUCUCUUUCUUUC